rnacentral:rRNA from 1 species
CGAAUAAGUUCCAAGGGCCGCAUGGCCCAUGGAAGAAAAGGUGGCCUCUACCUGUAAGCUAUCGCCUGAAGAGGGGUUUGCGUCUGAUUAGCUGGUUGGAGGGGUAACGGCCCACCAAGGCGACGAUCAGUAGCCGGUCUGAGAGGAUGAACGGCCACACUGGAACUGAGACACGGUCCAGACUCCUACGGGAGGCAGCAGUGGGGAAUCUUCCGCAAUGGGCGAAAGCCUGACGGAAAACGCCGCGUGAGUGAUGACGGCCUUCGGGUUGUAAAACUCUGUGAUCCGGGACGAAAAGGCAGAGUGCGAAGAACAAA